rfam:Podospora anserina genomic DNA, chromosome 6.
GGGCGUGUGGCUCAGUUGGUAGAGCGUUCGCUUAGCAUACUCAUCCUUGUAUCCUCAAGAUCAAGGAUCCAUUGUAUGCGAAAGGUCCUGGGUUCGAUUCCCAGCUCGUCCA